CAAGCAGCGGAGCGUGUGGUUUAAUUCGAUGCUACACGAAGAACCUUACCUGGGUUUGACAUGGAGGUGGUACCGAACCGAAAGGGGAGGGACCCUUCGGGGAGCCUACACAGGUGCUGCAUGGCUGUCGUCAGCUCGUGCCGUGAGGUGUCGGGUUAAGUCCCGUAACGAGCGCAACCCUUGCUCUUAGUUAUACGUGUCUAAGAGGACUGCCGGCGACAAGCCGGAGGAAGGUGGGGAUGACGUCAAGUCAGCAUGGCCUUUAUAUCCAGGGCUACACACACGCUACAAUGGUCAGUACAAUGGGCAGCCAACCCGCGAGGGGGAGCGAAUCCCACCAAAGCUGAUCCCAGUUCGGAUUGCAGGCUGCAACCCGCCUGCAUGAAGUUGGAGUUGCUAGUAACCGCGCGUCAGCCAUAGUGCGGUGAAUACGUACCCGGGUCUUGUACACACCGCCCGUCACGUCAUGGGAGUUGGCAACGCCUGAAGCCGGUAGCCUGACCUAACGGAGGGCGCCGUCGAAGGCGGGGCUAGCAACUGGGACGAAGUCGUAACAAGGUAGCCGUAGA
rnacentral:rRNA from 1 species